GUCACGAGUAUGAUCUGACCCUGAAUGCGGAAGCCAACUGCUCCCAGCACCACAAGUGGUUCUAUUUCGAGGUAUGGCAGCCAACGUGCCCUAUCGCUUCAACAUCAUCAACUGUGAGAAAGCCAACAGCCAGUUCAACUACGAGAUGCAGCCGGUGCUGUACUCUGUCAGAGAGGCAAUGGAGGGACGACUCAACUGGAUCAGAACUGCGACUGAGAUCUGCUUCUACAG